rnacentral:lncRNA from 1 species
UCAAGAUAGAAGAGCGGGAUGAGGCAUGCAUGGCCAGGAAGUCCAGAGACCAGAGUGGGGACUGAAGGAUGUUGGGUUAGGAGAGACCACCUGACUAUUUUCUGAAGGGUUUUGGGAAACAUGACUGUCUAUUUGUAAGGAAUUCUACCCAAAGUGCAGGACCCAGUUUGGAAGAACCUAGUAAACAUGUUUCUGAUGUUCUUUGUCUCACUAUUGUUAGGCUUUCGCACAUGGAGGAGACACCCAUCCUGUCCGGAGAGAGGCCAGGAGCUAAUUAAAAAUGAGCCAAACAGACUCUUCCUGGGGAUUUGGCUCUUGUUGUUCAUGGCCAUCCUAAUUGGAUCUGAAAUGUCCAAGUGCCCCUUCCUGCAUGAAGACUUCAAUUCCCCAGAGCACGCCAGCCCAAGCUCCCAGGCCCUCAGCCUGGAUAGAAACCUGGACCAAUACUUACCCAAAUGAAGAGGUCAGACCAGAGGCAGGAUGUAGAUGUCUAAAGAUGCCACAUUCAAAAUCAAAAAGAAGUGUUUGAACCAGGAUUUUGAGACCUCUUUUUUCAAUAAUGGAAUAUUGAAGUGAUUGUGCAAACCCAUGGCAAAUAACACUUAUAAACAUUGGCUAAACUAAAAAUAAAGUGCUGAAAGGCAUCCA